rnacentral:rRNA from 1 species
AGAGUUUGAUCCUGGCUCAGGAUGAGCGCUAGCGGCAGGCUUAAUACAUGCAAGUCGUGGGGCAGCACAGGUAGCAAUACUGGGUGGCGACCGGCAAACGGGUGCGGAACACGUACGCAACCUUCCUUUAAGUGGGGGAUAGCCCAGGGAAACUUGGAUUAAUACCCCUUAACAUUAUGAGAUGGCAUCAUUUUAUAAUUAAAGCUCCGGCGCUUAAAGAUGGGCGUGCGCCUGAUUAGGUAGUUGGCGGGGUAACAGCCCACCAAGCCUACGAUCAGUAACUGGUGUGAGAGCACGACCAGUCACACGGGCACUGAGACACGGGCCCGACUCCUACGGGAGGCAGCAGUAAGGAAUAUUGGUCAAUGGACGCAAGUCUGAACCAGCCAUGCCGCGUGGAGGAUGACGGCCCUCUGGGUUGUAAACUCCUUUUAUCUGGGAAGAAAUGCAGAUAUUCUUAUCUGUUUGACGGUACCAGAGGAAUAAGCACCGGCUAACUCCGUGCCAGCAGCCGCGGUAAUACGGAGGGUGCAAGCGUUAUCCGGAUUCACUGGGUUUAAAGGGUGCGUAGGUGGAGUGGUAAGUCAGUGGUGAAAUCUCCAAGCUUAACUUGGAAACUGCCGUUGAUACUAUCAUUCUUGAAUAUCGUGGAGGUAAGCGGAAUAUGUCAUGUAGCGGUGAAAUGCUUAGAUAUGACAUAGAACACCGAUUGCGAAGGCAGCUUGCUACACGAUCAUUGACACUGAGGCACGAAAGCGUGGGGAUCAAACAGGAUUAGAUACCCUAGUAGUCC